rnacentral:lncRNA from 1 species
CACAGAAUCAAGCUCCAUCUGUCCCCACGUGGGCAUCUUGCCUGUUAUUGGAAUUGCUCACUGUGUGUGUCAGCUGGGCCAGGUCUGCAGGGCAGCCAGUCAUUUGAGACCAGAUGUCCUGUGCCUGUUGAUCUGCCCUGUUCUCAGAGCUCGCCUCCUUCCUGGUCCUUCCUAGUAUACUGUCCCUCUCCCUUCCUCGGCCUCCUUCCUAUUCCACUCUUGGGAAAUCCUUUUGGCUUCCCCCUGCCACCAUUUCUGAGCCCCAGGCUGCCACACUGUGCUGUACUCUGAACGGAGGGAACCGACAGACCAUUUCACUGGCUGGCAAACAGAUGUGUGUAGUUUGUUAAGAAAUUUCUACCAGGAUCUUUCAGAGUGCAAAACACUGUGGUAGGGCUUGUUAGGAAUACCAUAAAAUAUAAUACCGUAGGUGGGGUGUCCAGGUAAGGAACACAGGUGCGAACAGGUAACAGGUGAUGCAGGGCAGUGAAAAAUAGAUGACUGAAGAGGCCUGCAGUCAAAGAGGGCUUUGGGAGGUUAGGAAUGAGACCUGGGGGCUUCGGGCAGGGGAGUGUUCUCUGAAGCUCUGAACCAACCCCUGGCCUCAGGCUCGAAGGGUGGUGGCAGGAAUACCCCAAGUCUUCCUGCCUACGUGCCGCACUCCUGAAAUCUGUGCUGAGCUCCUUCGGCCAGAGUCUGUCUCUCACCGACCUUGGUGUUCUCAGAGCCUGGCACAUGGCACUCUCCAACAAACACCUGCCCACUGACUUGCUUAUGCUUGUGCUACUCUUUGCCUAAGUUUCUCCCCUGCGUAGCCUGUUAGACUUCUGCCUUUGGUUGGAGGCCUGGCUUGUGGGCUUCUAACCAAAGGCCUUUCUGGUUCCCCAGCCCUCCAGUCAGGUCUGAAUUCAAUUCCCCCCAUCCAAGUUCCCCAAGGCUCUUUUGACUUACUGCAGGACUGGCCCAGUGUCACCCUGGUGUCAACCGUACAAUAGACAUUAUAUGUACAUUGGCCAUAUGUCACGUAUGGGUUAAACUGGGACACUUGAGUAGGAAAGGAGGCAGAUGUAACCCAGGAUUGAAAAGCACACUAUCCAGAGAGGGCUGUCGUUGGCCUGCCCCUGCCGUGAGGGCUUGUGUGCAUGUGGACGAGCCACUCAGCUCCUCUGGGUUUUGGUGUUCCGGUCUGCAAGAAAUGGGGCUGGAUUCGGGGACUGGAUAGAUAACCUCUCAGGCUAUUUAAAGCACUAAAGUGAUAUGGCCAAUAGAGGAGGUUGGGGCCUGUGAGAGGUGUUCUGGUGGAGGUUGUGAGAUCGUGGAUGUGUUUGCAAAGAAGGUUUGGGGUCAGGGAAUGAGAACUAAGGCCAGGGCUGGUUAGGGCCCAGCCUGGAAGCAGUGGAGGCUGCUGAUGUUUCUGCUUUGGGCACGAGGUGAUAACCGUCCACUGCAGUCAAGAAACUUGGAAUGCUUACACAGGGGAGGCAGAUGGCAUUGUUCCCCACACAGAGGGAUAAACCAGCUGACAUUCAUUAACAGAGUUGGGAGGAAAGGGUGUCAAAAUGAGUUUCUUCCCCAUUUAGGACAGAGAAACGUUUUGAUCUAGGAUGGAAUGGAGAUCAAGGCCAUGGAGUUUGGCAAGAGAAGACAAACUCCUCCUUCCUCAGCUGCAGCUUCAUCUCACAUACCCUUCUAGGCCACCCUGUGCCUUUUCCUCUCUCCUUAUGAUUUCUGUGAUAACAUGCAGAAGGGCAGGGGCCUCUCCACACCCAACAGAAGGGAAUUUCAGUCGUGCCUGAGUCUGCCUUUCUCCACAGUUGCAUUUAGCAGAAGGAACCGUGGCUACCCACUUGGAAGGAACCUGUCAAUAACAAGGGCCACGAGGUCUUAGGGUGGUCUCCCUUGGAGAGAGGGAAGCUAUGUCUUUGUGGCACCAACAAAAACAAACUCAAGCUUUUAAAAAGAAAUGCAACCAGGUAUUUAGUUCACCCACCACCUUGGAUAUACUCCUUUUUUUUUUCUGAAUUGAAUUAGUUUUCUAAAAAAUAUAUUUUAAAGACACAUCCAGAAAGAACGUGACAGACAAAUGGGCAGAAUCUGAAAGAGGCAAGUUAUCUGGAAACGCAAAUGGAGGGAGAUGAGAGAAAACAGUCUGCAACUAGAGAAACCAUAAGAAUUGGAGAAAGUGACAGAAGUGGAGCAAAAGAGAGGAAGAUAGACAGGAAGAGAGAUGCACUCAGCUGGAGGGAGGGACGUCAGAGAUAAGAAGAGGAAAACACCCCAAGACUAAGCUAGUGGCAGAAAUGGUGCUCAGAGGUGCCCAGACAGGCAGGAAUCAGCACAGGUCAGAUUUAUAGCCCUCCCUUAUUUUGACCUGUCUCAAGUUUCCUAGAUGUGGGCCUGUUCCUGGAGCUGCCUGCAUUCUGCAGCUCUUUGCUAGCCAGGGAUUUAUGGUUCUGAUGUCAGGAAAAUUACUAAGUCUUGUUUCAGACAUGCCCCAUUCUCCAUUGGCUCCAACAGUGUUUGAUAUCCCAUGAGAGGAAACCAGAUCCUGUGAGUGAACUCAAGAUGUAGGCAAUGAGGGGCAUAGGGGAAAGGGGUUGCUGUCCUAGAAAAUUCUUGAAUUUCUUCUUGGAAGUAGCCAUCCUAUUACCAUGUAGAAGAGGACCAAGGGGCAUGUUCCUGAAGGCCUCUUGGCAGCUCUGCACCAUUAAUUCCAUGAGGAUUUGUGUGCCUGGGACCCAGCUG